CCUACGGGAGGCAGCAGUGGGGAAUAUUGCACAAUGGGGGAAACUCUGAUGCAGCAACGCCGCGUGAAGGAAGACGGUUUUCGGAGUGUAAACUUCUGUUCUUAUUGAAGUAUAAUGACGGUAGCUUAGGAGCAUGCCACUGCUAACUACGUGCCAGCAGCCGCGGUAAUACGUAGGUGGCAAGCGUUGUCCGGAAUUACUGGGUGUAAAGGGAGCGCAUGCGGGAAGCCAAGUCAGCUGUGAAAACUACGGGCUUAACUUGUAGACUGCAGUUGAAACUGGUUUUCUUGAGUGAAGUAGAGGUUGGCGGAAUUCCGAGUGUAGCGGUGAAAUGCGUAGAUAUUCGGAGGAACACCGGUGGCGAAGGCGGCCAACUGGGCUUUAACUGACGCUGAGGCUCGAAAGUGUGGGGAGCAAACAGGAUUAGAUACCCGAGUAGUC
rnacentral:rRNA from 1 species